AUGAGCCAUACAAUGAAGCUAUGGGAGAGAGUCAUUGAGCACCGCUUAAGAAGAAUGACAAGCGUGACCAAAAAUCAGUUUGGUUUCAUGCAUGGGAGGUCGACCAUGGAAGCCAUUUUCUUGGUACGACAACUUAUGGAGAGAUAUAGGGAGCAUAAGAAGGACUUGCAUAUGGUGUUCAUUGACUUGGAGAAGGCCUAUGAUAAGAUACCGCGGAAUGUCAUGUGGUGGGCCUUGGAGAAACACAAAGUCCCAGCAAAGUACAUUACCCUCAUCAAGGACAUGUACAAUAAUGUUGUGACAAGUGUUCGAACAAGUGAUGUCGACACCGAUGACUUCCCGAUUAAGAUAGGACUGCAUCAGGGGUCAGCUUUGAGCCCUUAUCUUUUUGCAUUGGUGAUGGAUGAGGUCACAAGGGGUAUACAAGGAGAUAUCCCAUGGUGUAUGCUCUUUGCGGAUGAUGUGGUGCUAGUUGAUGAUAGUCGGACGGGGGUAAAUAGGAAGUUAGAGUUAUGGAGACAAACCUUGGAAUCGAAAGGGUUUAGGCUUAGUAGAACUAAAACCGAGUACAUGAUGUGUGGUUUCAGUACUACUAGCUGUGAGGAGGAGGAGGUUAGCCUUGAUGGCCAGGUGGUACCUCGGAAGGACACCUUUCGGUAUUUGGGGUCAAUGUUGCAGGAGGAUGGGGGUAUUGAUGAAGAUGUGAACCAUCGAAUCAAAGCCGGAUGGAUGAAGUGGCGCCAAGCUUCUGGCAUUCUCUGUGACAAGAGAGUGCCACAAAAGCUAAAAGGCAAGUUCUACAGGACGGCGGUUCGACCCGCAAUGUUGUAUGGCGCGGAGUGUUGGCCGACUAAAAGGCGACAUGUUCAACAGUUAGGUGUGGCGGAGAUGCGUAUGUUGAGAUGGAUGUGUGGCCACACGAGGAAGGAUCGGGUCCGGAAUGAUGAUAUACGAGAUAGAGUUGGGGUAGCACCAAUUGAGGAGAAGCUUGUCCAACAUCGUUUGAGAUGGUUUGGGCAUAUUCAGCGCAGGCCUCCAGAAGCUCCAGUGCAUAGCGGACGGCUAAAGCGUGCGGAGAAUGUCAAGAGAGGGCGGGGUCGACCGAUUUUGACAUGGGAGGAGUCCGUUAAGAGAGACCUGAAGGAUUGGAAUAUCGACAAAGAGCUAGCUAUGGACAGGGGUGCGUGGAAGCUUGCUAUCCAUGUGCCAGAGCCAUGA
rnacentral:rRNA from 1 species